UGGAGAUGACAAAUGGGUUGCCAUGCCAC
rnacentral:piRNA from 1 species